GAACGGGUGAGUAACGCGUGGGGAAUCUGCCAAUGAGUGGGGGACAACAUUUGGAAACGAAUGCUAAUACCGCAUAAAAUCUAUUGAGACAUCUCAAGAGAUUGAAAGGAACAAUUGUUUCGCUCGUUGAUGAUCCCGCGUUGUAUUAGCUAGUUGGUGAGGUAACGGCUCACCAAGGCGAUGAUACAUAGCCGACCUGAGAGGGUGAUCGGCCACAUUGGGACUGAGACACGGCCCAAACUCCUACGGGAGGCAGCAGUAGGGAAUCUUCGGCAAUGGACGAAAGUCUGACCGAGCAACGCCGCGUGAGUGAAGAAGGUUUUCGGAUCGUAAAGCUCUGUUGUUGUUAAAGAACGUUGAUGAGAGUGGAAAGUUCAUCAAGUGACGGUAAACAACCAGAAAGGGACGGCUAACUACGUGCCAGCAGCCGCGGUAAUACGUAGGUCCCGAGCGUUGUCCGGAUUUAUUGGGCGUAAAGCGAGCGCAGGUGGUUUCUUAAGUCUGGUGUCAAAGGCUACUGCUCAACAGUAGUGUGCAUUGGAAACUGGGAGACUUGAGUGCAGGAGAGGAGAGUGGAAUUCCAUGUGUAGCGGUGAAAUGCGUAGAUAUAUGGAGGAACACCGGAGGCGAAAGCGGCUCUCUGGCCUGUAACUGACACUGAGGCUCGAAAGCGUGGGGAGCAAACAGGAUUAGAUACCCUGGUAGUCCACGCCGUAAACGAUGAGUGCUAGAUGUGGGGAGCUAUAAGUUCUCCGUAUCGCAG
rnacentral:rRNA from 1 species